rnacentral:lncRNA from 1 species
GACUAAAUCUUAUGAAUAUCCGGUGUAAAAUGCAGCCCCUUUCAGUGUAAAAUGCAGCCCCUAUUAUGUACACAAGGGUUUUCUUUGACUGUGUUACCUAGUUUUUGACAAUACACGACUCAUUAAAACUCUCCCUAAAUUUCAUCCAGAGACAAAAACUCUGAUCUAAUUUCAUGAAGAGUGGUAUAAAAUGCAGCCCAUGUUUCAUACACAAGGUUUUUCAUGGAUUUCACCUGGAACAACCCAUAUAUGUAUAUAUAUCUACAGCUUAUUUACAAAUUCAAGAAAAAUAAUAAAUAUGGAAAUUAUGAAAGCAAAAUACAUGUACUUAUGGGCCAUUACAAAUUAGAUACAAAAAAACUUUCACCUUCCAUGUUGUUUAACAAAGAGAGCAGUUUAUGAAAUGCUGUGUUUGGAUGCACAAAAUGAGAAAAUAACAACAAUUAGUUACAGCCACAUGAUGUUAAUAUGGAGAAAACAGUUAACACACAUUAAAAUCCCCAAGAAAUCAAGAUUCAGUCAGUGUGAUGUCUGCAUGAAAUUAAAAGACAAACUUGCCACCUGUCAAGACAAAACACAGAGAGGAACUUAUACAGAAGAGAAAGAAGCAUUUAGAGCAGCAGAACGCAGAGAGGCAGAAAUAUUAUAAACACAUAUCAAAGGCAAAGUCUACACCAUCCAAAUACGUCAGUAUUAUACUGGAUGCAAUGGAUCAAGAAAAAACGUCCAUUCCAAAGAUGUACGAAACACCCAAAUCAUUAGGAAACAUUUGGAAAGUGAAAAUUAACCUGAUGGGGGCAAUAGUACAUGGAUAUGGACUGUAUGGCUUCUUCGACAGUUUCCAGUGGAGUCAUGGUGCAGCUUAUACCAUUUCAAUCCUGGUACAAGUACUUUUGUUGUUGGACAACAUUCCAGACACGCUGUACAUACAGCUAGACAACUGCCCUGGUCAGAACAAGAACAGGUGACUAAUUUUUCAUACAAUAAUACUUUGAGACAGAGUAAUUACUUUUGUGGUCCGGGUUCAAAUAGGUUUCAUUUUUUUUUUUUGGAAAGUUGUCACUUCUAUUUAAAGUUUUUCAUUUCUUUCUUCGUGUGACACAAACAUCAUUUGAACUUAAUAUGACAAAACUGUAAUGAGAUAUUUACAAUUUUCAUAAAUGUAGUAAUUCAUAAAAUCAUGAUAUAUAUUUUUUUCAAAUUAUUAUCAGUCUCACGAUUUAUUUUGAAAGCAAGAUUGCCAAUGAUAGCAUUUACAGAAAAGUUACAAGUUUAAAAACUAAAGGUCCGGAAAACUACUCGUGAGUAACCGAUAUGUAACUGCCCUUUCUGACACCUCAUCUAUAUAUAAAAACUCAAUUAUCCCUCACAUUAUUUCAGGAAAAUACAAUGUUUACUGUUUCAGGUACGUUCUUGGGUUUCUGGCUAAACUUGUAGAAGAAAACAUAUUUAAAAAAAGUAAAACUAUCUUUCCUGAUGGUGGGCCAUACGCAUGAAGACAUCGAUCAGCUAUUUAGUCGGUAUGAUGAUCUUAUUUAUAGAGGUUCAAACUUGAGGAUAUUAUUAGUUACACUGCUUCGCUCUCGCCUGAUAUAGAUUUCCUCGACAGCGUAUAUCCAGUAUCCUGUCACCAACAAGCAGUGUAACGAUUUUAUCU